AGUGAACGCUGGCGGUAGGCCUAACACAUGCAAGUCGAACGGCAGCACAGUAAGAGCUUGCUCUUACGGGUGGCGAGUGGCGGACGGGUGAGGAAUACAUCCGAAUCUACUUUUUCGUGGGGGAUAACGUAGGGAAACUUACGCUAAUACCGCAUACGACCUACGGGUGAAAGCAGGGGAUCUUCGGACCUUCCGCGAUUCAAUGAGCCGAUGUCGGAUUAGCUAGUUGGCGGGGUAAAGGCCCACCAAGGCGACGAUCCGUAGCUGGUCUGAGAGGAUGAUCAGCCACACUGGAACUGAGACACGGUCCAGACUCCUACGGGAGGCAGCAGUGGGGAAUAUUGGACAAUGGGCGCAAGCCUGAUCCAGCCAUACCGCGUGGGUGAAGAAGGCCUUCGGGUUGUAAAGCCCUUUUGUUGGGAAAGAAAAGCAGCAGGUUAAUACCCCGCUGUUCUGACGGUACCCAAAGAAUAAGCACCGGCUAACUUCGUG
rnacentral:rRNA from 1 species